ensembl:snoRNA
AAGACUAUACUUUUGGGGAUCAUUUCUAUAGUUCAUUACUAGAGCAGUUUCUCUGAACGUGUAGAGUACCCAAAACCAGGAAGAGGAGACGCAGUGCCCCCUCCUGAGUGUGAAGCUGGCUCUGGGCGUGGCUUCUGCCUUUGUCAUUGAUGAUUGUUCUUCUCCUCCCUCCUUCAGGGGAGUAGGACGGAAGGGACACCAUCUGAGUGGUU